rnacentral:rRNA from 1 species
CCAGCAGCUGCGGUAAUUCCAGCUCCAAUAGCGUAUAUUAAAGUUGUUGCAGUUAAAAAGCUCGUAGUUGAAUAUCUGUUUCCAGUGUCCGGUCCGUCAAUGAUGUGUACUAGUGAUGCUGGAUUCAUAUUUUGUGAGGCUGUAUGCUGGCAUUAAUUUGUUGGUGUAUUGGGCUUGCAUCGUUUACUGUGAAAAAAUUAGAGUGUUUAAAGCAGGCGUUCGCUUUUGAAUACAUUAGCAUGGAAUAAUAAGAUAUGACUUGUGUGGUCUAUUUUGUUGGUUUGCACACGCGAGUAAUGAUUAAUAGGGACAGUUGGGGGUAUUCAUAUUUCAGCGUCAGAGGUGAAAUUCUUGGAUCGCUGAAAGAUGAGCUUAGGCGAAAGCAUUUACCAUGGAUGUUUUCAUUAAUCAAGAACGAAAGU